UUGAACUAUUUGCUUUGCCUGAUGACUGCAUUCCUAAAUUACUCUUGCCGCAUAGCUUCCUGUAUUGUUCAAAUUCAGGAUUUCCCUUUCUUCUUCUUCUUCUUCUUCUUCUUCUUCUUCUCCUCAUUCCCAAUUCAAUUCUGAAAUUUAUUCAUUAAUUAAUUCCUUUGUGCCAAAUAGUCGACGCUGUCAGAGAGAGCUAUUGAACUACUUGCUUUGUCUAAUGACUGCAUUCCUAAAUUACUCUUGCCGCAUAGCUUCCCGUAUUGUUCAAACUCAGGAUUUUCCUUUCUUCUUCUUCUUCUUCUUCUUCUUCUUCUUCUUCUUCUUCUCCUCCUCAUUCCCAAUUCAAUUUUCUUUCUUUCUGAAAUUCAUUCAUUAAUUAAUUCCUUUGUGCCAAAUAGGCGAUGCUGUCAGAGAGAGCUCUUGAACUACUUGCUUUGCCUAAUGACUGCAUUCCUAAAUUACUCUUGCCGCAUAGCUUCCCGUAUUGUUCAAAUUCAGGAUUUCCCUUUCUUCUUCUUCUUCUUCUUUUUCUUCUCCUCAUUCCCAAUUCAAUUUUCUUUCUUUCUGAAAUUCAUUCAUUAAUUAAUUCCUUUGUGCCAAAUAGGCGACGGUGUCAAAGAGAGCUCUUGAACUAAUUGCAUUGCCUGAUGACCGCAUUCCUAAACUACUCCUUGAUAUCGGUUGUGGAACGGGACUUAACGGCGAGACAAUCUCGGAGAAUGGACACCAUUGGAUUGGGCUUGAUAUUUCAGCAUCAAUGCCUAAUGUUGUGGUGGAGCGAGAGGUUGAGGGUGACCUUUUACUUGGUGACAUGGGUCAGGGCUUAAAGCAGCAGCAGCCAUAGGAGGUGGUACCAAACUUCCUCAGCCUCCCCCAACACAACCAACAACAAGGGAAUUCCAACAACAACAACAUGGGAGAGAACAAACCGUCAGAGGUUAAGGAUUUCUAGAUAGUGGUAGCUGCUGAGAAGGACGAGAGCAAGAAGCAGCAACAGUUGGCACCAAAGAGGAGAAAGCUGGAUUUGGUUUACCCCCUUAUUGUUCCUUCUCCCCAGUACUCGAGUCUCCAUA